UACACUCCUGCGGGAGGCAGCAGUGAGGAAUAUUGGACAAUGGGUGGAAGCCUGAUCCAGCCAUCCCGCGUGCAGGAAGACGGCCCUAUGGGUUGUAAACUGCUUUUAUCUGGGGAUAAACCUACUUACGUGUAAGUAGCUGAAGGUACCAGAAGAAUAAGCACCGGCUAACUCCGUGCCAGCAGCCGCGGUAAUACGGAGGGUGCAAGCGUUAUCCGGAUUUAUUGGGUUUAAAGGGUCCGUAGGCGGACUGAUAAGUCAGUGGUGAAAUCCGACAGCUUAACUGUCGAACUGCCAUUGAUACUGUUAGUCUUGAGUAAGGUUGAAGUGCUGGAAUAAGUAGUGUAGCGGUGAAAUGCAUAGAUAUUACUUAGAACACCAAUUGCGAAGGCAGGUCACUAAGUCUUAACUGACGCUGAUGGACGAAAGCGUGGGGAGCGAACAGGAUUAGAAACCCGAGUAGUCCCAUGAU
rnacentral:rRNA from 1 species